GAUGAACGCUAGCGGCAGGCCUAAUACAUGCAAGACGAACGGUAAGUUGAGUAGCAAUACUUAGCCAAGAGUGUCGUACGGGUGCGUAACACGUAUGCAACCUACCCUAUACAGGAGGAUAGCCUAGGGAAACCUGGAUUAACCCUUCAUAGUAUUAUUGGAUGGCAUCAUUUGAUAAUUAAAACUGAGGUGGUAUAGGAUGGGCAUGCGUCUGAUUAGUUAGUUGGCGGGGUAAUGGCCCACCAAGACGAUGAUCAGUAGGGGUUCUGAGAGGAAGAUCCCCCCACACUGGCACUGAGAUACGGGCCAGACUCCUACGGGAGCAGCAGUAGGGAAUAUGGUCAAUGGAUGCAAGUCUGAACCAGCCAUGCCGCGUGCAGGAAGAAGGCC
rnacentral:rRNA from 1 species